GAUGAACGCUGGCGGCGUGCCUAAUACAUGCAAGUCGAGCGAACAGACGAGGAGCUUGCUCCUCUGACGUUAGCGGCGGACGGGUGAGUAACACGUGGAUAACCUACCUAUAAGACUGGGAUAGCUUCGGGAAACCGGAGCUAAUACCGGAUAAUAUAUUGAACCGCAUGGUUCAAUAGUGAAAGACGGUUUUGCUGUCACUUAUAGAUGGAUCCGCGCCGCAUUAGCUAGUUGGUAAGGUAACGGCUUACCAAGGCAACGAUGCGUAGCCGACCUGAGAGGGUGAUCGGCCACCCUGGAACUGGGACACGGUCCAGACUCCUACGGGAGGCAGCAGUAGGGAAUCUUCCGCAAUGGGCGGAAGCCUGACGGAGCAACGCCGCGUGAGUGAUGACGGUCUUGGGAUCGUAAAACUCUGUUAUUAGGGGAGAACAAAUGUGUAAGUAACUAUGCACGUCUUGACGGUACCUGGUCAGAAAGCCACGGCUAACUACGUG
rnacentral:rRNA from 1 species